GAUGAACGCUGGCGGCGUGCCUAAUACAUGCAAGUCGAGCGAACAGACGAGGAGCUUGCUCCUCUGACGUUAGCGGCGGACGGGUGAGUAACACGUGGAUAACCUACCUAUAAGACUGGGUUAACUUCGGGAAACCGGAGCUAAUACCGGAUAUUAUAUUGAACCGCAUGGUUCAAUAGUGAAAGACGGUUUUGCUGUCCCUUAAAGAUGGAUCCGCGCCGCAUUAGCUAGUUGGUAAGGUAACGGCUUACCAAGGCAACGAUGCGUAGCCGACCUGAGAGGGUGAUCGGCCACACUGGAACUGAGACACGGUCCAGACUCCUACGGGAGGCAGCAGUAGGGAAUCUUCCGCAAUGGGCGAAAGCUUGACGGAGCAACGCCGCGUGAGUGAUGAAGGUCUUCGGAUCGUAAAACUCUGUUAUUAGGGAAGAACAAAUGUGUAAGUAACUAUGCACGUCUUGACGGUACCUAAUCAGAAAGCCACGGCUAACUACGUG
rnacentral:rRNA from 1 species